CCUACGGGAGGCAGCAGUGGGGGAUAUUGCACAAUGGGGGGAACCCUGAUGCAGCGACGCCGCGUGGGUGAAGGAGUGCUUCGGCUUGUAAAGCCCUAUCGGCAGGGAAGAAGCAAGACGGUACCUUACUAAGAAGCCCCGGCUAACUACGUGCCAGCAGCCGCGGUAAGACGUAGGCGGCAAGCGUUGUCCGGAUUUACUGGGUGUAAAGGGCGUGUAGCCGGGUUGACAAGUCAGAUGUGAAAUCCUGCGGCUUAACCGCAGAACUGCAUUUGAAACUGUUGAUCUUGAGUACUGGAGAGGCAGAUAGAAUUCCUAGUGUAGCGGUGAAAUGCGUAGAUAUCACGAAGAACUCCGAUUGCGAAGGCAGCUCACUGGACUGCAACUGACACUGAGGCUCGAAAGUGUGGGUAUCAAACAGGAUUAGAUACCCCUGUAGUC
rnacentral:rRNA from 1 species